AGCGUAGACGGUGAUGCAAGUCUGAAGUGAAAGCCCGGGGCUCAACCCCGGGACUGCUUUGGAAACUGUAUGACUGGAGUGCAGGAGAGGUAAGCGGAAUUCCUAGUGUAGCGGUGAAAUGCGUAGAUAUUAGGAGGAACACCGGUGGCGAAGGCGGCUUACUGGACUGUAACUGACGUUGAGGCUCGAAAGCGUGGGGAGCAAACA
rnacentral:rRNA from 1 species